rnacentral:rRNA from 1 species
UACGUAGGGGGCUAGCGUUGUCCGGAUUUAUUGGGCGUAAAGAGCGUGUAGGCGGCCAGGUAGGUCUGGUGUGAAAACUCGAGGCUUAACCUCGAGAUGUCAUCGGAAACCAUCUGGCUAGAGUCCGGAAGAGGAGAGUGGAAUUCCUGGUGUAGCGGUGGAAUGCGCAGAUAUCAGGAGGAACACCAACGGCGAAGGCAGCUCGCUGGGACGGUACUGACACUGAGGCGCGAAAGCGUGGGGAGCGAACAGG